CAGGGGUUGGGUUGGUCUUAAGU
rnacentral:piRNA from 1 species